rnacentral:rRNA from 1 species
GUGGGGAAUAUUGCACAAUGGGGGAAACCCUGAUGCAGCCAUGCCGCGUGUGUGAAGAAGGCCUUCGGGUUGUAAAGCACUUUCAGCGAGGAGGAAAGGUUGAUGCCUAAUACGUAUCAGCUGUGACGUUACUCGCAGAAGAAGCACCGGCUAACUCCGUGCCAGCAGCCGCGGUAAUACGGAGGGUGCAAGCGUUAAUCGGAAUUACUGGGCGUAAAGCGCACGCAGGCGGUUGGAUAAGUUAGAUGUGAAAGCCCCGGGCUCAACCUGGGAAUUGCAUUUAAAACUGUCCAGCUAGAGUCUUGUAGAGGGGGGUAGAAUUCCAGGUGUAGCGGUGAAAUGCGUAGAGAUCUGGAGGAAUACCGGUGGCGAAGGCGGCCCCCUGGACAAAGACUGACGCUCAGGUGCGAAAGCGUGGGGAGCAAACAGGAUUAGAAACCCGAGUAGUCC